rnacentral:lncRNA from 1 species
AAGCAAGAUGACAAAUAUGUGUUAAGAGAUGGAGUUCCCAUCUAAGUACAAUAAGACGCAUCAAUGUACUCAACACAAUACGAAAGACUUGACAUCUCAUUCGCUAUGAAAAGUUGUAAAGCUAAGUGUAGCUAUGCGCCCACGCAAUGCCAAUGUAAUGGCAGUAACUCCUUUUUUAAUACUUAAUGGUAUGAAAGGUUUAGGCUUAUUCUAUCCCUACAUAAGAAAGACACAUCAAUAACGAAAUCAGAAUCUGCCAAGUUUCGUAGGUCAAGCUCCACGGGACUUACAGGAAACCUCACUCACUGGAAUAUGGUAAAAUUGGUACCAUUAGAAAGGUCUAUGUGUCUACUUUCCAGAGACACCAACCAUUUGAUCAUACCUUUCAUAUUGAGUGAGUUAUGGCCGUUUUCGUAAAGUAGGACGAAUCUGUCCGAGAAUCUGAUUUUGGCAAAACAGUCAACUUCGACGGGAUUUUGUGAACAGCUCCUGAUGAACCAGAAUGUGUGUAAUAUACGGUUGGAAAGCUAAAUGAGUCUAGUUUCCAAAACCGUUUACGGUUCGUUCAUAUGUAUUUCCUAGAGGAAGUUACGACUGUUCUAGUAAUUGAAGGUCAUAAUGACUUAACGAUCACCAAAUUAUUUGAAAAUUUGUAAAAGUGAUUUGCUCAUAUAGGAUUGUGAAAUCCACACACCCCAAAUUGAAAUCUACACACUUUUUUAAUUAGGGAAAAAGACCAUUUGCACAAAAUAGAAAAAGCCAAACCCCAUUUCAAUGAUAAUAUUUUUUUAGUAGCCCAUUUGAAUACAAGGUACUUAUUUUAAGCCCAAAUCACAAAUCUUUAUUAAAAUAUAAUAAAAUUAUAUUUUUAAAGACUUUUUUUGUCACGCCCCAAAUUUUUGAAAGGAAAUUUUCAAAAAUUUUCAAAAAUUUUGGCAUAAUAUCCCUUAAAAUAAUAUAAUCCCAAAAACCUGUUUCAACAAAUUUCCAAUGAAACUAAACUCAAUGCGGAAAGUAAAAUUUACACACAAUUCCAUAUUGAGUUAAAUAUUACAUUUCCUUGUUUACAUAAACUCGAGAGUCAAGAAAAUGAGACGCUCACAUGAGUUUAUUAUUGUCUAUCCCAAUGUAUAUAUAAAAAUAAAUAUAUACAAUGAACAACCAAAACCCAACAAAAAAAACCUAACCACUAAGCCUCCACC